UCGGGAAUUUUGGGCAAUGGGCGAAAGCCUGACCCAGCAACGCCGCGUGAAGGAUGAAGUAUUUCGGUAUGUAAACUUCGAAAGAAUAGGAAGAAUAAAUGACGGUACUAUUUAUAAGGUCCGGCUAACUACGUGCCAGCAGCCGCGGUAAUACGUAGGGACCAAGCGUUGUUCGGAUUUACUGGGCGUAAAGGGCGCGUAGGCGGCAAUUCAAGCCAUCUGUGAAAUCUCCGGGCUUAACUCGGAACGGUCAGAUGAUACUGCUUUGCUAGAGUGCAGAAGGGGCAAUCGGAAUUCUUGGUGUAGCGGUGAAAUGCGUAGAUAUCAAGAGGAACACCUGAGGUGAAGACGGGUUGCUGGGCUGACACUGACGCUGAGGCGCGAAAGCCAGGGGAGCAAACGGGAUUAGAUACCCCAGUAGUCCCUGAGCGGGCUGGCAAGGCGCAU
rnacentral:rRNA from 1 species